GUGUUUGCGGACCAUCGGCAGCUUGUCGUCGGGGAGGGGCAGCCGGCGCACGAUGUGCUCCACGAAGUCGUUAGGGGUGACGGCAGCCAUGUUCCACUUCAACUUGCCCAGCACCACCAGCUCCCAGUCCUGAAACAGCCUCACACAAGACGCUGAGUUGCAUCUGGCACGAACCGCCGUCCUGCCCCCCCACACACACCCACCAGAGCAUCUUAACAACUGCGAGCGACACCCCUUUGGGCGACAGCGCGGAUGGGCACGCGUCAACACGUCCGGCGCUGCACCCUCUUGGGAUCAAG